rnacentral:rRNA from 1 species
AUUGAACGCUGGCGGCAGGCCUAACACAUGCAAGUCGAGCGGAGCGACGGACGGGUGAGUAAUGCCUAGGAAUCUGCCUGGCCGUGGGGGCUAACGUCAGGUAACGGGCGCUAAUACCGCAUACUAUCAGAUGAGCCUCGGUCGUAUUAGCUAGCUGGUGGGGUAAAGGCCUACCAAGGCGACUCUCCGUAACUGGUCUGAGAGGAUGAUCAGUCACACUGGAACUGAGACACGGUCCAGAAUCCGACGGGAGGAAGCAGUGGGGAAUAUUGGACAAUGGGCGAAAGCCGGAUGCAGCAAUGCCGCGUGAGUGAAGAAGGUCUUCGGAUGGUAAAGCACUGUUAGUAGGGAGGCGGUACCAAAAGAGUAAGCACCGGCUAACGUCGUGCCAGCAGCCGCGGUAAUUC